rfam:Arabis alpina cultivar Pajares chromosome 2, whole genome shotgun sequence.
ACGUCAUCUAGAGUUCUCUCGAACACUUCAUUGAAAAUUUGUUAUUCGGUUAGGUAACAUAUAAUUCCACUGAAGUGUUUGGGGGAACUCCGGAUGUCAU